rnacentral:lncRNA from 1 species
CUUGUCACAGCCAUGAGGGUCUAGUUUCAUGGAUUCCAUUUGUCAUUGUUACAUCACUUUGUGGUUGUUGUUGUUGGAAGGGAUGAUGAUGGAGGCAAGGCUAAUUUUCAGUAAAUUUCAAAAGGGUAAGCAUUCCUUUGGCUCCUGAGGGCAAACCAGAAAGGGAUCAGGACAUCCAAAAUGACAGGAAGACAUGGUGCUGCGUGGAGGCAGUAACUUGCACACACUUUGCUUUACACAGUUCUUCCCCACGAGGACGACCAGUUGUGGGACCACAGAAGUCUCCCUGGUGCGGUGCUGUUGCUCUGCCUUGCCUCAGGCACUGUGGAAGGGGGAAGCAAAUUCUGAAAUGCACAGGAAAAUUAUAUAAAAUGGAGAAGAGAUGAGCACAGAAAGAAGUUGGCAAGAAGGAGAGGAUGGUGGUGUUUUGCUAACAAGAUGAGUUUUCAAGGCUGUCUGCUGAGUGGCAUCAAAGAAGAGUGUGGAAUUUUGAAAAUGUCCCUGUGACCCAGAGAACGUGUUCCUGCCACAUCAGUGCAUUUGUGGCACUGUCAGUGCUUGCAGAAAUCUCAGUGAGGCUGCAUCCUUCUACUUAUUUCAAAAUAACCCAUCAGAAAUAAUUUGGUGCCUUGAAAUCUUUUACUCACAGGAAAAUGUAUUCUGCAAAGCACUCACUGUUACUUCUUUUCUCACUGUUUCAAGCAUGAACAGAAU